rnacentral:rRNA from 1 species
CAAUAGCGUAUAUUAAAGUUGUUGCAGUUAAAAAGCUCGUAGUUGGAUUUCUGGUAGGAGUGACCGUUCCGAACUUGAUUGUUCGUGUACUGUGUUUUCUCCAGCCAUCCUUGUGGAGAACUUUUCUUGCAUUAAUUUGUAGGGAUUGGGACCCGCAUCGUUUACUGUGAAAAAAUUAGAGUGUUUAAAGCAGGCAAUCGCUUGAAUACAUUAGCAUGGAAUAAUAAGAUAGGACUUUGGUACUAUUUUGUUGGUUUGCAUACCAAAUUAAUGAUCAACAGGAACAGUUUGAGGAUAUUCGUAUGAACAUGUCAGAGGUGAAAUUCUUGGAUUUUGAUCAGACGAACUACUGCGAAAGCAUUUAUCAAGGAUGUUUUCAUUAA